AGCAGCCGCGGUAAUUCCAGCUCCAAUAGCGUAUAUUAAAGUUGUUGCAGUUAAAAAGCUCGUAGUUGAAUUUCGGGAUCAAUAUGUCGGUCGUGCCUUCGGUACGUACUGGUAUCAUUGGUCUCUCCUUUCUGACGAACCAUGAUGUCAUUAAUUUGGUGUUAUGGGGAGUUAGGACUGUUACUUUGAAAAAUUAGAGUGUUUAAAGCAGGCUUUAGCUUGAAUACAUUAGCAUGGAAUAAUGAAAUAGGACGUUCGAACCUAUUUUGUUGGUUUCUAGGAUCAACGUAAUGAUUAAUAGGGAUAGUUGGGGGCAUUAGUAUUCAAUUGUCAGAGGUGAAAUUCUUGGAUUUAUUGAAGACUAACUACUGCGAAAGCAUUUGCCAAGGAUGUUUUCAUUAAUCAAGAACGAAAGUUAGGGGAUCGAAGACGAUCAGAUACCGUCGUAGUCUUAACCAUAAACUAUGCCGACUAGGGAUC
rnacentral:rRNA from 1 species